UAGGGAAUCUUCGGCAAUGGGGGGAACCCUGACCGAGCAACGCCGCGUGAGUGAAGAAGGUGUUCGGAUCGUAAAGCUCUGUUGUUAAGGAAGAACGAGUGUGAGAAUGGAAAGUUCAUGCUGUGACGGUACUUAACCAGAAAGGGACGGCUAACUACGUGCCAGCAGCCGCGGUAAUACGUAGGUCCCGAGCGUUGUCCGGAUUUAUUGGGCGUAAAGCGAGCGCAGGCGGUUAGAAAAGUCUGAAGUGAAAGGCAGUGGCUCAACCAUUGUAGGCUUUGGAAACUGUUUAACUUGAGUGCAGAAGGGGAGAGUGGAAUUCCAUGUGUAGCGGUGAAAUGCGUAGAUAUGUGGAGGAACACCGGUGGCGAAAGCGGCUCUCUGGUCUGUAACUGACGCUGAGGCUCGAAAGCGUGGGGAGCGAACAGG
rnacentral:rRNA from 1 species